rnacentral:rRNA from 1 species
AGCAAACGCUGGCGGCGUGCCUAAGACAUGCAAGUCGAACGAGGAAAGCUUUCGGGUGAGUACUAGUGGCGAACGGGAGAGGAACACGUGGGUAAUCUACCUCUAGGAGAAGAAUAACCAGUCGAAAGAUUGGCUAAUACUUCGUAAGACCACAGUAACUAAUGUUACAGGGGUUAAAGGAGCAAUCCGCCAAGAGAUGA